UCCCUGAAUCCCUCCCUAACUCCCUCCCCUCCCCGAAUCCAUCCCCGUGCCCGCCAAGGCACCUUCUGCUGCAUCAGCAGAGCCGAGCACGCUGCUCCUGCAGCACCGGCUGCCAGCGCUGCCCUGCCUGCUCCGCCGGUAUUUUUCCUGCCUCUCCUGCCAGCUCUGCAGCCCUAACGCCUCAACCCACGGGCACUGCUGGCAUCCUCUCAGGCUCCCCUGGGAUGUCCCCGUGCCCUGCAAAGCCUCCUGCUCUCCCUCCUCUCUGCUGCCUUGUGCUGCAGAGGGGGCUGGACAGGGAUGGGGAGCUGUAAGACGCCCUGAAGGUGACAGGCUGUGGCAUUUUAGACGUGCAGGCAGCAUCCCUGCAGCCCAGAGAAAAUGCAGCGCCGUUCCUGCUCCUGUUCCUUCCUUCCCGCCAUGGCUGUUUUGGGAUGCGUCACCCUCUGCAAACGCCGCUCUCUGCACAGAGCUCCCUGGCUAAUGGACCUGGGCACCGAGGUACAUUUCACCCCCGAGUGCCGUUUCAAGGACGGCGCUGCGUGUUCAAGAACUCUCACGUGCUCUACGCCUCGGCCCUGUACCUGGGGCUGGACCGGCAUGGGUGGCCAAUGGACAGACCACGGGUAUGAAAGGACAAAGCUGCCGAGCAUUUCCCACCCCAGAUGCUCGAGGGUGAGUCAAAAUAUCCAAAUCUGGGGUUUUAGACCCAAAAAUUGGUGUUUGAAACACAAAAAAUGGGGAUUUGAACCCAAAAAUGGGGAUUGGGAACCCAAAAUCCUUGGGGAACAAAGUCAGCACAGCCAUAUGGUUUGAACUCUUCCAGGGUUGGU